UGGGGAAUAUUGGACAAUGGGCGCAAGCCUGAUCCAGCGACGCCGCGUGGGUGGUAAGGCCUUCGGGUUGUAAAGCCCUUUCACCGGGGAAGAUGAUGACAUUACCCGGAGAAGAAGCGCCGCGUAACUCCGUGCCAGCAGCGGCGGUAUGACGGAGGGCGCAAGCGUUGUUCGGAAUCACUGGGCGUAAAGGGCGCGUAGGCGGCUGUUUAAGUCGAGGGUGAAAGCCCGGGGCUCAACCCCGGAACGGCCUUCGAGACUGGGCAGCUCGAGACCGGAAGAGGAGGGUGGAAUACCCAGUGUGGAGGUGAAAUUCGUAGAUAUUGGGUGGAACACCAGUGGCGAAAGCGGCUCUCUGGUCCGGAUCUGACGCUGAGGCGCGAAAGCGUGGGGAGCAAACAGGAUUAGAUACCCCUGUAGUCC
rnacentral:rRNA from 1 species